CCACCGCCGGGCUCCAGCUCUGCCGGGCGGGGAGGGCAGAGCGGCGGUGCGCUCCGGAACAAGAACACGGUGCCGGGCCAGGAAUCGCAAACCCCUUUUUCACGGCGCUUUUGAUAGCUAGGAUGCUGCCAAGUUUUUCCACCUGUUCUUUCCUUCCCCAUCCAUGAGAAAGUCUCCCAGGAGAGGAAUUACCACGGUCCAGUGCAGCCACAAGCAGGUUAAAAAGAAGGAUCCCAGUCCUGCUGCUGAUGGGUCUCCAGACAGCUUGGGUGUAACUUUCUGCUUCGAUGUUCACAGUGUUUGGGAUACAUGUAAAGGAUAUGCUUCCUUCUUGGCUUGCAGUCCACCAAGAUUCAAUGUUCCUUUUCACAACCUUCUCUGAGAAGCUACAGGAAACUUAGUCUCUGCAAAACCCCAAGGAAAUGGCACAAACAAGUCCUUACUACACUGCCCUUCCCAUGGCUGUAAUGCUGAGACAUGUUGGCUGCUUUGGCCUCAGUAGAACCAAAUGAGGAAAGCCAUCAAAUGCACAUGCCUUUUGUAUAAAUCUAUGCUACCUUAAGCUACUCUGCAAGUUGUGUGCUGUCACUAGGACCAGAGGUGCCAUGUUUGCACUGAGGGAGGCCUGCAUGUAUACAUGACAGAGGAGGAAACAUUGGAAGCUCUUCAUCCUUGAGAGCAAAGGGCUCUGGGUGGGUCCCUUUGUGCCCCUUUCCACUGCUUCUUUAGGUCCUCCUGACCCAUCGGAGUGGGAGAUCAGGUCUGUUAAGAGCAUAUGGAGUCAUUCCACAUCACUAAGUUAGCCUGGAAAUGGGAGCUGGCAGCAGCUGUUAUGUAUUACCACUCAACAGAGGGUUGGCUGCCUGUCAGAUUUGUCUGUAGAGCCUCCCUGCACAGGCAUGCAUGUCCCCAUUGCAAAAAUCAGCUUCCCAAAUGACAUCCACUGUGCUUUCUCUGCAGAGGCCCUAGAGACUCCCUUACCCAUAAGAAGCCAGAGCCAAGCCAUGCUAGGAAAACAGCAGCAUGAGGGAAUUGGGCUUUGAGUCCUUCUUGUUUUGUGGAUAGGUCAAGACCUCCAGUCACUGGGGUCAUCAAAGCAAUUAUAGAGCAUACUUAAUAAAAGCCUGUGAACAUCCGUUAUCAGACAGAUCGCUGCUAUGUGUACAAUGGUACAAGACAGAGGCAACCAGAUGGCGCUGACCUGUUCAAACACCCUUACUGUGGGCAUGGUUUCUGGGGUUUCUCCUGCAGCUUUCCAGCCAUUGCCAGUACCUCAGAAGCAACCAGCAUUUGGGAGACUAGUUUUCCUUGCUUUUAUUACUGAGAAGAUACAAGUUGUGGGCUGCUGGAAAGCAACUUCUUUUCACUGAGUUUUUUGGAGAUUAAUGGAGUGAAAGGGCAUUGAAACUCCAGAUGCUUCCCAAAAUGUUUGGCUCUCCCACCACUCAGCUAUCUUCAAUCCUUUCCAUGAAGCCAGGAUCUUCUUUUAGCACAGGCGUCAUUUAGGAUAUCCUACUCUUCUCUUUCAUCCAAUGAUGAUUCCAGCUUCAGUUGGCAGAGACCAUCAGUUCUGACGUUCCAGAAGCAUCUGCUGAGCCUUUCAGACUUCCAGCCCAAGCAUUCCAGCUUGCCUUGGAGAGCCCUGUGAUGCAACAUUUUCUCAAGAGGGCACCUGCUUUCCAAAAACUGCAUCUCCCCUUGGUAUUUCUGAACACGAUGCUGUCCCUUGCUGAGCAAACAGCAAGAAAGCAAAAUGGAAACAAGGGAAAAUAUGACACCCUCCGCUUAUAAAUGCAAAACGAUGGAAAACAAUUUUGCCAACUAGGCAACUCAAAUUAGACUUAUCUCUCUGAGGAAUAUGGUCGAUUUGUAGCUCUUAUUACAGUGUAAUGCUAUUUCCCUAAAAGUUUGUGUGUGCAUUUUAAUGAAUUCAUAAAACCCGGACUGUAAAUGCCCCAUGGGGGAAACCUGGCAGCUCUUUAAUUCAGCAUUAAAGCUCAACUGAUGUCAAUUGAAUUGAUUUCUGUGCAUAGAAAUUGCAUUCGUUGAAUGAAAACUUUAGCCCUUGCCAUUCCCCCUUUUAAAGCUCGCUGUAUUACAGUUGGCUCCUUGAGUCAGGUUCAAUUACAUGUUGAAAGUUUAUAAUCUGGCGUGCUGAAUAGAGGCUGUGAAAUCAAGAGAGAAAACCUAGCUAACCUGAUUAAACCUUAUACCACAGCCAUCCUGGGGCCAGUGAAUCCUUACUGUAGCACUGGGGAAUGAGUGUGCAGCAUGUCCUGAUUGCAGCCCAAGAUUUUAUUCUGGUAACAGCCACAGUGACCUCAGUGUCUCUAAUGGGAGCUCAGAGCUCUGACCUAAUUUUAAGGUUUUCCUCUUUUAGCCUAGGGAGAGCUCUGAACCAAAUAGGAAUUGGGAAGGGAAAGGUUCAGGGGCUUCAGGUUUGG